GGACGAACGCUGGCGGCGUGCCUAAUACAUGCAAGUCGAACGGUCUUUCUAUGGAAGCUUGCUCCACUGAGAAGAUAGUGGCGAACGGGUGAGUAACACGUGGGUAACCUGCCCAUAAGAGGGGGAUAACAUCCGGAAACGGGUGCUAAUACCGCAUAGUUUUCUUGAUCGCAUGAUUGAGAAAGGAAAGACGGCCUUUGUGCUGUCGCUUAUGGAUGGACCCGCGGCGUAUUAGUUAGUUGGUGAGGUAACGGCUCACCAAGACGAUGAUACGUAGCCGACCUGAGAGGUGAUCGGCCACAUUGGGACUGAGACACGGCCCAAACUCCUACGGGAGGCAGCAGUAGGGAAUCUUCCGCAAUGGACGAAAGUCUGACGGAGCAACGCCGCGUGAGUGAAAGAAGGUUUUCGGAUCGUAAAACUCUGUUGUCAGAGAAGAACAAGUUGGAGAGUAACUGCUCCAGCCUUGACGGUAUCUGACCAGAAAGCCACGGCUAACUACGUGCCAGCCGCCGC
rnacentral:rRNA from 1 species